UGUUUCAGUUUAAAAUACGAUAUAUAUAUAAAAACAUUGCAUGUUGCAAACUCGUCGAUAUUUGAAGAGGUUGACAAUCUGAAAGAUAAUGCAUUCGUCUUGUUCGCAUUGGUCAAAGAACUUUCAGAAACCGACAAAGAUUCAAUUUUUCGCGGCGGGUGUGAGAACUGAAUUUCAACUUCUCUCAUGCAAGCUGACGUCAUCAUGGGCUGACGCAUACUCGGAAGAUCUCAAAUAUAUCAUCAACUUCAAAAAGGUAAAGAAAAUUUCCUGAUGUUCGAGUGUUUAAGAAGACCAGCUAGGACAUCAAUCAACUAAGGUCCACUGAACGUAUCGGUUCGCUUGUCGUUUAUGUUCGUUAUACGAACACUUCUUGAUGUAGAAUCAGAGCCAUCGGGCGAAGCGCAAAGGGCGCGAAGAUGGAAGAUAGGACUCUACGCUUCGCUAGAUGGAUAUUUCACUUGUGUGGUACUUGAAAAUACUUCUCGUCUGUCGAUUUAUUAGUUAGUCAGCCAGGAAUGAUUAGAUAGGUUUCGACAGACGAAUCUAGACUAGGGGUUUAAUUGGCUGUUAUUAGGACUGUUUAUAAUGGAACACUUAAAAUAUCAAAUUUUUUAUGUGAUGAUU